CACUCUCUUCAAGAGAUCAUCAAA
rnacentral:snRNA from 1 species